GGCUGUAGCUCAGUGGUAGAGCAUCUGCUCUGCAUGGAGAAGGUCCCAGGUUCAAGUUCCAGGUAGGGUCG